GUUUCCUGGUGAAUCAACAGGCCGAUGGAGUGAAGUUUCAGCUAAAGAAUCCUUGUGUUUCCUCCUUUCAGCUCGGCUCUGAACUUGUAAAACAGUUCUUUGUGUAAAGUGCAUCUCACCAAGUCGAAGUUGUACAGCAGCUGUAGCUCAGUUUCAUUAAACACCAACAUUUGCAGUCGUCGAGUAGAGAGGAAAGUUACGGAGAGAUCCAUUGAAAAACACCCAGACUGUGUGACAAUUCUGUAAAGACAUUGCUGUGAAUACUAACUAAGUUCCAGAAUAUUCUGAGUUCCAUUUGAGUACCAUAAUCCAACAGCUACAGGCUUUAUGACACCUAGGUGUACAGACA